UACAGAGGUCCCCAAGCGUUGUUCGGAUUCACUGGGCGUAAAGGGUGCGUAGGUGGUCGGGUAAGUCUGAUGUGAAAUCUCCGAGCCCAACUCGGAAACUGCAUCGGAUACUAUCCGGCUCGAGGGUUGGAGGGGGGACUGGAAUUCUCGGUGUAGCAGUGAAAUGCGUAGAUAUCGAGAGGAACACCAGUGGCGAAGGCGAGUCCCUGGACAACUCCUGACGCUGAGGCACGAAAGCUAGGGGAGCAAACAGGAUUAGAUACCCGAGUAGU
rnacentral:rRNA from 1 species